UCCCAGCAGGUUCUGCCUGUGUUUCCUUUGCCCAGGGAUUCCUAGUGCAUGGACCUGGAACCUUUUGCUGGGGAUUUUAAAAAAUGCAGUGGAUUCCACCUUCAGUGCUCCCUGCUGUUCCAUUAGCGGCUGUUGACAUUCCCCUCCGACCAGUGUAAGGGAUCUAGGAGUAUGGCUGAUUAUUCUGUGGAUUUUUGGACGCUGGCAGCAGACUGCUAGAUAUUCAUCUGUGUGAAUGGCACCUGGAGAAGGCCUGCUGUUCACAGCCAUUACCUGCCUCCUGCUCUUCAUUGUCACCUCUCAUAAGAGCAAGAGUUUAGUCAUCCUCCAGAUCCCAAGCUAGUGCUUCCCCUCCUCCCAUCUCCUCAGAUGAGGAACCCAUGCAGUUGGGCUGAUCACCAACGCAGGAUGAGGGCGGGUGAGCGCCUGUACUUUGGUAUCACAGGACACUUCAUUGCUGCCUGCCCAGUUUGGCCAGAUGACAAUAGUAGAAGUAGGGAGUACUGGUGACCCAGACAGUUUCUUCUGCCUCCAUCUACACACAGAAUGCAGAUUCAAGCUACCCUUGUUGCAACCAGUUUACUUUGCCUUCCCUUGCUCUAGUUGAUUCAGAGGCAGUCCACAAAAGGCAAUCAGAGAGGUGACUAUUUUGAGUCCAUGUUUAUGUGCUGUUUGUUGUUGUUGUGAGCAAUCUAACUUGGAUUAGAUAAACUGACUCUUUCCCAAGGCAACAUUAAGAAAUUCAGCUGCGCACAGCUGUGGACUCUUGUGAGCUGGUGUUUUCUAAGCGUCUCAAAACUAUUUUCUUUUCAUUACUCCAAUCACUGAUUGUGUUCUUUCUCAUCUCCUGAUGAGAAAAUCUUGCAAGCUACACAAAAAAUGAAACCAACGCUUUUGUUGUGACGCAAUGUGGGGUAAAUGCUCUCAUCAAAAAAAUUCAUCAAAAAUUUUGCAUUGCUUCCCACAGAUGUCCUUGAGGCUUGAAUCUAGAGUAUAAUGCUUUUAGUUGGACAGUCUGAUAGCAUUUUGAGUUCAUCUAUCUUAACACUGCAAAUAUCAUCUUGAGAUGUCUGAGGUACCGCAUACCAUGAAUAUUUGCUGCUGUGACAAAACAUCAGUCUUCUUGGCUCGGACAACAGUUUCUGAUUGGGGUAGCUGCAACGGUGGAUUCCUCCCGGGGCUCAUCACUUUGCAAAGAGGUUGGAUCAUGGACAUUUAGCUGGCUGCUAGCUUAUAUUGUAAUGUUGAUGCUAGCAGAACUAAUGUUAGCAGACUUAAUGGCCAUGCUGCACUCAGCAGAAUCUUCACUGCUGAAAGAUAGUUUGCUUUCUAUUUUAGAAGGCCUGACAAAUGUUCAAUUGUUUUUUUUUGUUUGUUUGUUUGUUUUCCAGAUUUCUAGGCUAUUUAUUUGAUUACUAACAAAGAAGAUAUGCUAAAUCCAACAUUGCCAAUGUCACGAUUAAGUGCCAGAAAUUUUAAUCAUGCAAUGACCUAUAGCCAGUGAUUUUUAACACCAAUCACUGGCCUUCAAAUGUAUUCGAGUCACAAUGUUAGUUAAUAGAUUAUUGAAUGGAUAAUUGAUGAGUGGAUUAUUUUCAAGAUAGGAUGUUAUGAAAACAAACAAAAUCAUUUAAAAAAAAAAUGUAUGCACAGUUUGUACAGGAUAACAGUUCUCGGCGCCAAUGACACUUACACAGUGUUUUCAUCUGUAAUGUUCUUUAAUUGAAGUGAAUUUAAGAAACACAUUGUUCAAAACGUCUACCAGAAUAUCUGGUUUGACUGUUGUUGUGGUAGUGAACAACAGUCAGAGACUGGUGAGAAGGUGAGAAUUCUAAUGAGGCACUGACAAGUUUUUGAAUUUUAAGGCAAAACUGAAGAAUGGAAGUAAAUGACUCAGAAGCACAGGAUUUUUCAUUACAGUUUAAGCAAUCUGUCCUCAAUCCAGGCCCAAAAUAACUUGCCUUGAGGGAGUGGACAAUUUUAAUUACAUGCCCUGUACCUUUCCAUUCUCCACACAUUUAGUUCAAGUGCUCUCAGCUUGAAGUGGAAGUCCCAAAGUACAGCUGUGAACAGUGCUCACAUUUACAAGUAUGCAUAGGAAUAUGCAUGCAUGAAUAUGGAAGACUAUUUGUAUACGUUUGCAUUAUGUACUCUAUAUGCAUGUAUGAACACAAAUGUACAGUAUGUGUGCUUAAUUGUGUGUGGGGUGUAAAUUUUAACUUUGAUAUAGUUUUAUAAUUUGGCACUGUAUUAUUGUGAAUCAUUUGUAUUAUUCACACUAUAAUAGAGUGUAGAAAUACAGCAGAGGGGAAGACAAAGAAGACCUACUAUAAUGAAGAGUAGGCAAAAAAAAAAAAAGUGUAGACAGGCAGGUGAAAGAGAAAAGCUGGGAGGGAAGAGACUGGGUGCUAUUAAGAUGGAUUGUGAGGUCUGUAUUAUGCAGGUGUCUGGUCAUCCUUCAGUGAGCUAUUCCCCCAUAACAGGUGGCAGACUCACUUAUGGUGGGUCCAUGCAUGAUAACAGUUGCAAUACAUUUUAAUGAUCCUGGAUCCCUAGAUGGCUAAACACAUCUGACUUUGUAACCAGGCUGAAAAAGGUUGAAAGAGUUAAUGGGGAUUUAUGUAUGUGCCCUAAGGUGUUACAGUGUAACUUCAGAGCCUCCUCACGUAGCCAGCGUAGCUUUGGCUUAGGCUAAGCUCUAGCUGACGUGCACCACCUCCAAAAUAUAACUAUUAACACAGUGUUAACUUUGACGCAUAAGAGCUGGCAGUGUAAUGGGGUUGUGUGCCCGGGUUUUCUGCUUGAAAUGCAUCAUCUAUAGAUGAUGACCAUCCAAAUUUUUAUUUCACCGUUAACCCCUAGGAGGAGUCUGAGGUGCCACAGUGUCUCAUGAGGCCAAGUUUUAUCUCCAAAAAGCUCUUCCGGCCUUCAGCAACAGCACAGGGAUAGGUCCAAUCUAUCAACAAAGAAGCCAGGGCUUUGAUCUUAGUGGAUGGAAAAGCCUCUGUUUUCCAUCCUCAUUUUUGUUUUGCUAUACUGUAUAUUUUACUUCUCUGCUUUAAUGGUCCCCUUUUCUUGAUCAGUUAUCAACAAGGCAGUGGGCAAGGCUGGGAAGCAAUUGCAUUACACAAAUCAGCACAGUACUCAGAUUACAUUUCUUUUGUUUAGUGGAUAACUAUGUUCUGGGUCAUGCCUACAUAAGUACUAAAGAAUUAAGG